rnacentral:rRNA from 1 species
AUUGAACGCUGGCGGCAUGCUUUACACAUGCAAGUCGAACGGCAGCACGGGCUUCGGCCUGGUGGCGAGUGGCGAACGGGUGAGUAAUACAUCGGAACGUACCCAGAAGUGGGGGAUAACGUAGCGAAAGUUACGCUAAUACCGCAUACGUUCUACGGAAGAAAGUGGGGAAUCUUCGGAUCUCAUGCUUUUGGAGCGGCCGAUGUCUGAUUAGCUAGUUGGUGAGGUAAAGGCUCACCAAGGCGACGAUCAGUAGCUGGUCUGAGAGGACGACCAGCCACACUGGAACUGAGACACGGUCCAGACUCCUACGGGAGGCAGCAGUGGGGAAUUUUGGACAAUGGGCGCAAGCCUGAUCCAGCAAUGCCGCGUGAGUGAAGAAGGCCUUCGGGUUGUAAAGCUCUUUUGUCAGGGAAGAAACGGUAGGAGCUACUAUCUCUUGCUAAUGACGGUACCUGAAGAAUAAGCACCGGCUAACUACGUGCCAGCCGCCGCAGUAACAC